UCACAGAAAACGGCAGAGUGAAGCGGUAAAAGCUCAAAUUUGAAAUCUGGUACUUUCAGUGCCCGAGUUGUAAUUUGUAGAAUUUGUCUUUGAUUAGGUCCUUGUCUAUGUUCCUUGGAACAGGACGUCAUAGAGGGUGAGAAUCCCGUUUGGCGAGGAUACCUUUUCUCUGUAAGACUUUUUCGAAGAGUCGAGUUGUUUGGGAAUGCAGCUCAAAGUGGGUGGUAAAUUCCAUCUAAAGCUAAAUAUUGGCGAGAGACCGAUAGCGAACAAGUACAGUGAUGGAAAGAUGAAAAGAACUUUGAAAAGAGAGUGAAAAAGUACGUGAAAUUGUUGAAAGGGAAGGGCAUUUGAUCAGACAUGGUGUUUUUUGCAUGCACUCGCCUCUCGUGGGCUUGGGCCUCUCAAAAAUUUCACUGGGCCAACAUCAAUUCUGGCAGUAGGAUAAAUCAUUAAGAAUGUAGCUACCUCGGUAGUGUUAUAGCUUAUUKGAAUACUGCUAGCUGGGAUUGAGGACUGCGCUUCGGCAAGGAUGUUGGCAUAAUGGUUAAAAUGCCGCCGUCUGAACGACAACAGCAAA
rnacentral:rRNA from 1 species